UACGAAGGGGGCUAGCGUUGCUCGGAAUUACUGGGCGUAAAGAGCUCGUAGGCGGUCUGUCGCGUCGGCUGUGAAAACUCGGGGCUCAACUCCGAGCUUGCAGUCGAUACGGGCAGGCUAGAGUUCGGCAGGGGGAGACUGGAAUUCCUGGUGUAGCGGUGAAAUGCGCAGAUAUCAGGAGGAACACCGGUGGCGAAGGCGGGUCUCUGGGCCGAUACUGACGCUGAGGAGCGAAAGCGUGGGGAGCGAACAGG
rnacentral:rRNA from 1 species